UCGGAAAUAGCUCAGUUGGUAGAGCAUAACCUUGCCAAGGUUAGGGUCGCGAGUUCGAGUCUCGUUUUCCGCU
rnacentral:tRNA from 1 species